rnacentral:rRNA from 1 species
UACGUAGGGUGCAAGCGUUGUCCGGAAUUAUUGGGCGUAAAGAGCUUGUAGGCGGUUUGUCGCGUCUGCUGUGAAAUUUCGGGGCUCAACCCCGAACUUGCAGUGGGUACGGGCAGACUAGAGUGAGGUAGGGGAGACUGGAAUUCCUGGUGUAGCGGUGAAAUGCGCAGAUAUCAGGAGGAACACCGAUGGCGAAGGCAGGUCUCUGGGCCACUACUGACGCUGAGAAGCGAAAGCAUGGGGAGCGAACAGG